GACGAACGCUGGCGGCGUGCUUAACACAUGCAAGUCGAGCGGUAAGGCCCUUUCGGGGGGUACACGAGCGGCGAACGGGUGAGUAACGACGUGGGUGACCUGCCCGUCAGCUCUGGGAUAAGCCUGGGAAACCGGGUCUAAUACUGGAUAUGACUCCAUGACGCAUGUUGUGGGGUGGAAAGCCUUGUGCGGCCGAGGAUGGGCCCGCGGCCUAUCAGCUUGUUGGUGGGGUGANGGCCUACCAAGGCGACGACGGGUAGCCGGCCUGAGAGGGCGACCGGCCAC
rnacentral:rRNA from 1 species